AUGAACGCUGGCGGCGUGCCUAAUACAUGCCAGUCGAGCGAACGGACGAGAAGCUUGCUUCUCUGAUGUUAGCGGCGGACGGGUGAGUAACACGUGGAUAACCUACCUAUAAGACUGGGAUAACUUCGGGAAACCGGAGCUAAUACCGGAUAAUAUUUUGAACCGCAUGGUUCAAAAGUGAAAGACGGUCUUGCUGUCACUUAUAGAUGGAUCCGCGCUGCAUUAGCUAGUUGGUAAGGUAACGGCUUACCAAGGCAACGAUGCAUAGCCGACCUGAGAGGGUGAUCGGCCACACUGGAACUGAGACACGGUCCAGACUCCUACGGGAGGCAGCAGUAGGGAAUCUUCCGCAAUGGGCGAAAGCCUGACGGAGCAACGCCGCGUGAGUGAUGAAGGUCUACGGAUCGUAAAACUCUGUUAUUAGGGAAGAACAUAUGUGUAAGUAACUGUGCACAUCUUGACGGUACCUAAUCAGAAAGCCACGGCUAACUACGUG
rnacentral:rRNA from 1 species